GAAUGUUGGGAACCGAUCUGAUUCCAAGGAUUGAGAAGUUUUGCAGUGGUCAACUGGUAUAGACAUCCCAUUACCACUACUUCCUUCAUUGGACUGCAAGGUAUUUCUGUUUGGAAAAGUAAUGGAGUCCAGUCAACUUCAUUGAUCGCCAAGGACUGUCAAAAUUAUAAAACUUGCUGUGGAGCUCUGACAUGCCAGAAGCCGCUAGAAAAAGAAGUUUGACAUUCAGAAACUUAUCAAGAGGUUCUACUCUUUGGAUAGAGACCAAAAUCAUACUUUGAAAAAGCCUGACAGGUUUCUUCGGAAAAGUGGCCAUCCAUGGAAUGAAUGAAAUGUUCUCUUUCUAUUCCAGGGAUUGCAGUGGCAAAGCUAGGCUAGGUCUUGGAGGCUGGUGUAAGGCGAUGUGGGUGAAGGCAGGAGGCUGAUGGAAAGACUGGGGGGAAGAAAAGCCGAAAUGGAUUCACGGUGCCUUGGAUGAAGGACGAGAGGGGAACUGCAAGCUCCUUCAACUGGUUCUGUCCGGUGAGAAGUGAUCAAGCUUGGGCUGACAAGAGGCUCAGGGAGCCCUCACGUUCUUUCGCUUUUUUACCUGCCAAUCAAACUGCUACAAGACAACACCCUGAUCUGGCAUGGACAUCGCGGGUCCAAGCCUGUAGCCCCAAAUCGGAUAAUCUCUGCAGCUGAUAACAAGCAAAAGAGAAGCCAGGCAACAGCCAUAUUAAAGAAGAAAACAAUCAACUCUGAGAUCCAACUUAGAAAUAAUGUUUCAUUCAAGAUAAGGCUCGUGGCUUAGGAGAUUGUGACCUGGCUUGCAUCAUUCUAAGACUUCUAUCGUCUGUUUUCAAAACCCAAGGAGGACCUCCU
ensembl:lncRNA SOX2-OT SOX2 overlapping transcript